ACGGCAGCAUAGAGAGCUUGCUCUCUGAUGGCGAGUGGCGAACGGGUGAGUAAUAUAUCGGAACGUGCCUAGUAAUGGGGAAUAACUAGCUGAAAGGUUAGCUAAUGCCGCAUACGACCUACGGGUGAAAGCAGGGGAUCUUCGGACCUUGCGUUAUUAGAGCGGCCGAUAUCUGAUUAGCUUGUUGGUGGGGUAAUGGCCUACCAAGGCGACGAUCAGUAGCUGGUCUGAGAGGACGAUCAGCCACACUGGAACUGAGACACGGUCCAGACUCCUACGGGAGGCAGCAGUGGGGAAUUUUGGACAAUGGGGGCAACCCUGAUCCAGCCAUUCCGCGUGAGUGAAGAAGGCCUUCGGGUUGUAAAGCUCUUUCGCAAGAGAAGAAAACUUGCUAUCUAAUAAAUAGUAAGCAUGACGGUAUCUUGACAAGAAGCACCGGCUAA
rnacentral:rRNA from 1 species